GGCUCUGACACUCUCCUUGGAGGGAACCAGCCUGCGCCUUAAUUCUCUGACAUUCUGUUUCCUCUGAGUCCUCCUCUGGGUAACCUGAGACUCAGAGGUUUGUUUGUCCAAAAGCAUACAGCUGGUGAUGGGAUGAGCUUUCUGCCUUGCUGGAAUCCUCCCUUCCCUGUAACUCUGAUUCCUCGGAAUGGCAGGAAGGGAGAUCAGGCCUAAGCUGCCUAGCUCUUAGUACAUCCCACAUCAAUUGCAACAUGCACAUUUGCACAUUGCAAAGGAACUGCUAUGCUCUGAAGUUGGCCCCCAAGCUCCUCCUCACCAUAAGUAUCUGGAAGUGAGUAGCUGUUAUUCCCAUCCUCCUGCCCCUUUUCCUUUCCCCUCC
rnacentral:lncRNA from 1 species